GUGGGGUUGCCCGAGCGGUCAAAGGGCCCGGUCUGCAAAACCGUUGUUCGCCGGUUCGAAUCCGGCACCCCACU
rnacentral:tRNA from 1 species